AUUGAACGCUGGCGGCGGGCUUAACACAUGCAAGUCGAGCGGAGAUGAGGUGCUUGCACCUUAUCUUAGCGGCGGACGGGUGAGUAAUGCUUAGGAAUCUGCCUAUUAGUGGGGGACAACAUUCCGAAAGGAAUGCUAAUACCGCAUACGUCCUACGGGAGAAAGCAGGGGAUCUUCGGACCUUGCGCUAAUAGAUGAGCCUAAGUCGGAUUAGCUAGUUGGUGGGGUAAAGGCCUACCAAGGCGACGAUCUGUAGCGGGUCUGAGAGGAUGAUACGCCACACUGGGACUGAGACACGGCCCAGACUCCUACGGGAGGUAGCAGUGGGGAAUAUUGGACAAUGGGGGGAACCCUGAUCCAGCCAUGCCGCGUGUGUGAAGAAGGCCUUAUGGUUGUAAAGCACUUUAAGCGAGGAGGAGGCUACUGAGACUAAUACUCUUGGAUAGUGGACGUUACUCGCAGAAUAAGCACCGGCUAACUCUGUGCCAGCCGCCGCGGUAA
rnacentral:rRNA from 1 species